rnacentral:rRNA from 1 species
CCUACGGGAGGCAGCAGUGAGGAAUAUUGGUCAAUGGCCGGAAGCCUGAACCAGCCAUGCCGCGUGAAGGUCAGUGCCCUUUGGGCGUUAAACUUCUUUUGUCCGGGAGCCAUAAUGAUCACGUGUGGCCGGACGAGAGUACCGUACGAAUAAGCAUCAGCUAACUCCGUGCCAGCAGCCGCGGUAAUACGGGGGAGGCGAGCGUUAUCCGGAAUUAUUGGGUUUAAAGGGUGCGUAGGGUGUGAGGUUAGUCAGCGGGGAAAUGCCCCGGCGCAACGGGGUGAAGUGCCAUUGAUACUGGCUGGCUGGAAUGCGGAUGACGUGGGAGGAAUGUGUGGUGUAGCGGUGAAAUGCAUAGAUAUCACACAGAACACCGAUUGCGAAGGCAUCUCACGAAGCCGCGAUUGACGCUGAGGCACGAAAGCGUGGGUAUCAAACAGGAUUAGAUACCCGGGUAGUC